rnacentral:rRNA from 1 species
UACGGCUGAACUGGCACUUGGAGAAGNGGCAAGUCUUAUAAUUUCUAGUAUUAGGUAUUUCUAUAUUUAUAAGAUUCUAUUAGAAUUGAAUGAAGCUUUGUUUAUAUAUUGAUAAUGACAGUAUAUAUAUCGUGUCUUGACUAAUUGCGUGCCAGCAGUCGCGGUAAUACGUAAGAGACUAGUGUUAUUCAUCUUAAUUAGGUUUAAAGGGUACCCAAACGGUCAAAAUAGCUUCUAUNAAUGUUAGUACUUGACUAGAGUUUUAUGUAAGAGGGCAGUACUUGAGGAGGAGAGAUGAAAUUCUAUGAUACCAAAGGGACUCUGUAAAGGCGAAGGCAGCCCUCUAAGUAAAAACUGACGUUGAAGGACGAAGGCUCAGAUCACAAACAGGAUUAGAUACCCAAGUAGUCUUUGCAGUAAAUGAUGAAUGCCAUAGGUCAGAGUAAGAUUUAAUAGUAGUAGGCCGGCUUAUUGCAUAGCGAAAAAAACUGGCUAAGGCUCGGACUACACAUUAAACAUUAUUUGGUCUAUAAAUGAAAGUGUAAGCAUUUCACCUCAAGAGUAAUGUGGCAACGCAGGAACUGAAAUCACUAGACCGUUUCUGACACCAGUAGUGAAGUAUGUUGUUUAAUUCGAUGAUCCACGAAAAACCUUACCACAAUUUGAAUAAUUAUAUUACAGGAGUUGCACGGCUGUUUCCAGUUAAUGUUGUGAAACUGUGGUUUCCAUGAAAUUAACGUAAUCCCUGGCUUUAUUUUUUUUAAUUUACUAUAAAGCAUAUGAUGCCUGAAAAUUGGAAAGAGAAA